AAAUUCUCAAAGUCAAUCUUUUGUUAAUUCAAUUGGUUGUACUUUGGACUUGGAGGUCUUUGCAGAUUAAUAAUCUGCUCCUCUUAAAUUUAUUAGCUGGAUCUCAGUAUAUGCUAGGUUCCACUCGGCGUGAUAAGUUAUCACUCGCUGAGGACACUGUAAAAAGUGGCCAGGAAAUACAGAUGAACCGCUUCUAAUAGUCUAUUAAAUUAGACAAUUAAUUUAAG
rnacentral:misc_RNA from 1 species